UACGUAGGGGGCUAGCGUUGCUCGGAAUUACUGGGCGUAAAGCGCACGUAGGCGGCUUGUUAAGUCGGGGGUGAAAUCCUGGAGCUCAACUCCAGAACUGCCUUCGAUACUGGCGAUCUCGAGUCCGGGAGAGGUGAGUGGAACUGCGAGUGUAGAGGUGAAAUUCGUAGAUAUUCGCAAGAACACCAGUGGCGAAGGCGGCUCACUGGCCCGUUACUGACGCUGAGGUGCGAAAGCGUGGGGAGCAAACAGG
rnacentral:rRNA from 1 species